GCCCCCUGCCUGCGGUAGCGGCCACUGCGCCUGCGCAGAGCCUCCGGGAGGCGGAGCCCUCGGUGCACCCCCUCUUUGCCCUGCCCUCCUUCCCUUUCCACUCACCCACCCAGACACCCCUCAUCCCUCCCCCAACCACCCUGAACGGAUAGACAGAUAAGAAAGUGAGAUGAAUAAAGUGUACUGGAAACUUUCAUUUCCUGCUGCCUCACUGCUGCCUGGUCCCUUCAGAUGGAUCUGUGUCCUCCUGUGUGACAGGUAUUGGGCCAAGGUGAACACCUGGCCUAGGAUUGGUCCAUCCAUUGCUUACCAGUGACCCAGGACUUGAGUGGAUGGUCUGGCCUGAAUAGAUGAGCUACCACAAUCUGAUUUUCCCUCUCUGGACAUGGAUCCAGAAUAUUCAGCAGUAAGUUACCAACUCAAGGAUCUAUAGGCCUAAUGAAGAGGCUGCCAUUUAUGGUCAUGUUUAAGAUGGUUAAGUACAAAAAAAGUGAACAAUAGAAAGGAAAAUGACAGAAAUAUUCUAAGAUGCACUGAAGUGGUGAGAGAAAUGGAGACAAGAAAAUGACUGCUCCCCAAAUUUACCUUGGAUUCUCUCCAUCCUUUGGCCUGGGUGUUUUUUCUUCGUUUCCUAUGAUACUUUACUGGGUUUAAAAUAAAUUCUUUUUCUUUCUUAA